rnacentral:tRNA from 1 species
GGAGAGGUUGCAUAGUCCGGUUUACUGCGCGCGCCUGGAGAGCGCGUGAGCCGCGAGGCUCCGUGGGUUCGAAUCCCACCCUCUCCGCCA